AUUGAACGCUGGCGGCAGGCUUAACACAUGCAAGUCGAGCGGAGAUGAGGUGCUUGCACCUUAUCUUAGCGGCGGACGGGUGAGUAAUGCUUAGGAAUCUGCCUAUUAGUGGGGGACAACAUUCCGAAAGGAAUGCUAAUACCGCAUACGCCCUACGGGGGAAAGCAGGGGAUCUUCGGACCUCGCGCUAAUAGAUGAGCCUAAGUCGGAUUAGCUAGUUGGUGGGGUAAAGGCCUACCAAGGCGACGAUCUGUAGCGGGUCUGAGAGGAUGAUCCGCCACACUGGGACUGGGACACGGCCCAGACUCCUACGGGAGGCAGCAGUGGGGAAUAUUGGACAAUGGGCGGAAGCCUGAUCCAGCCAUGCCGCGUGUGUGAAGAAGGCCUUUUGGUUGUAAGGCACUUUAAGCGAGGAGGAGGCUACCUGGAUUAAUACUCUAGGAUAGUGGACGUUACUCGCAGAAUAAGCACCGGCUAACUCUGUGCCAGCAGCCGCAGUAAUAC
rnacentral:rRNA from 1 species